CCGUAAUCCGGGUUGCGGACAGUGUCUGGUGGGUAGUUUGACUGGGGCGGUCUCCUCCUAAAGAGUAACGGAGGAGCACGAAGGUUGGCUAAUCCUGGUCGGACAUCAGGAGGUUAGUGCAAUGGCAUAAGCCAGCUUGACUGCGAGCGUGACGGCGCGAGCAGGUGCGAAAGCAGGUCAUAGUGAUCCGGUGGUUCUGAAUGGAAGGGCCAUCGCUCAACGGAUAAAAGGUACUCCGGGGAUAACAGGCUGAUACCGCCCAAGAGUUCAUAUCGACGGCGGUGUUUGGCACCUCGAUGUCGGCUCAUCACAUCCUGGGGCUGAAGUAGGUCCCAAGGGUAUGGCUGUUCGCCAUUUAAAGUGGUACGCGAGCUGGGUUUAGAACGUCGUGAGACAGUUCGGUCCCUAUCUGCCGUGGGCGCUGGAGAAUUGAGGGGGGCUGCUCCUAGUACGAGAGGACCGGAGUGGACGCAUCACUGGUGUUCGGGUUGUCAUGCCAAUGGCACUGCCCGGUAGCUAAAUGCGGAAGAGAUAAGUGCUGAAAGCAUCUAAGCACGAAACUUGCCCCGAGAUGAGUUCUCCCUGACUCCUUGAGAGUCCUGAAGGAACGUUGAAGACGACGACGUUGAUAGGCCGGGUGUGUAAGCGCAGCGAUGCGUUGAGCUAACCGGUACUAAUGAACCGUGAGGCUUAACCUU
rnacentral:rRNA from 1 species